GCCGAUCUCCGUGGCUUAGUCGGGAGAACACCUGAUUGUGGUGCAGUAGGACUCGGGUUCGAGUACCGGCGAAGGCU